CUGUGUGUACCAAAAAAUCAAGGAGGGAUGGGAUUUCACGAUAUUCACUGUUUCAACUUGGCGUUGCUAGCCAAACAGGCAUAGCGUCUUCUGGAUAAUCCUUAUUCAUUAUGCGCUUCUAUCCUAAGGGCAAAAUACUACCCCGAUGGUGAUCUGUUAAAUGCAAAGCUCAGGAAAGGCUCCUCCUUUACAUGGCAAAGCAUCAUGGCAGACACAAAUACUCUGAAUCGUGGCUACAUUUGGUGAGUGGAAAAUGGACAUAAUAUUAAUAUUUGGGAAGAUGCCUGGAUCCCAAAUUUUGCCAGUAGGAAAAUUAUAACGCCUAAGGGAGGCAACCUACUAGGUAAGGUAGGUGAUCUCACUGACCCGGUUUCUAACACUUGGGAUGAAGAAUUGAUUAGGCAAACUAUGUGGCCGAUUGAUGUACAAAGGAUUCUUUCAAUCCCCCUACCGCAAUAUGAUAUGCAAGAUUUCAUUGCCUGGAAUUAUACGAAAAAUGGUAUAUUCUCAGUUAUGUCAGCCUACUCUAUGGAGUGUGAUCAUCAGUUUGGUAACAAACUAAAACACUUUAGGGCGAAUCACAGUUAA
rnacentral:rRNA from 1 species